rnacentral:rRNA from 1 species
GUCGAGGGGCAGCGGGAAGGUUAGCUUGCUAACCUUUGCCGGCGACCGGCGCACGGGUGAGUAACACGUAUGCAACCUGUCCGGUACAGGGGGAUAAGCGGCGGAAACGCCGUCUAAUACCGCGUGACAACCCGAGGGGGCAUCCCCUUGGGUUCAAAGGAGAGAUCCGGUACCGGCUGGGCAUGCGGCGCAUUAGCUAGUUGGCGGGGCAACGGCCCACCAAGGCGACGAUGCGUAGGGGUUCUGAGAGGAAGGUCCCCCACACUGGAACUGAGACACGGUCCAGACUCCUACGGGAGGCAGCAGUGAGGAAUAUUGGUCAAUGGGCGCAAGCCUGAACCAGCCAAGUCGCGUGAGGGAAGACGGCCCUACGGGUUGUAAACCUCUUUUGCCGGGGAGCAAGCCUGAGCACGUGUGCCCAGGCGGAGAGUACCCGGAGAAAAAGCAUCGGCUAACUCCGUGCCAGCAGCCGCGGUAAUACGGAGGAUGCGAGCGUUAUCCGGAUUUAUUGGGUUUAAAGGGUGCGCAGGCGGGCUGUUAAGCCGGCGGUAAAAAUUCAGGGCUCAACCCUGUCGAGCCGUCGGAA